CUUAAUUUUUGAAAUUUUGUUUUUAAAUAAAUGAACAUGUUUUUGUUGUAUAUUUUUGCUCUAAAGGCUUUCCGACAAACCUGGUCCUGAUGAUUCAUGGCCUACAUCAGCUAGCCAAGACUUAGAUUUUGGUACCAAGGAAGGAACAGCAAAGUCAGCAACGGAAGCAAAGGAAGAUGGUGUUGGUAUUAUUGAAAAUGUGCCACCAGAGCAAACAGUUAAUGGCAGUUUGACUUCUGCUGGUGGAGUGCAUAAAAAUGACAGAAGUGGUAAGCUAGUGAAUCUCUGUGAGUUGUUUUCCUAUGAUUAAAUGCUAGUACGAGAAAAAUCUGAAAGUAUGUAGAUCCAAAUAUAUUAUCCUUUAUUCGCGAAGAUAUUUUUCUCUUGCUAUCUUUCUUUAUAAGUAUCCCAAGUACGACCCCCUUUUACUUCUGGAAAAUCUUGAACCCCCUGAACAUCUUUUCUGCUAUUGCUUUUAUUUUAUUGAAAUAUUCAUGAAUGGAGAUAGACUUGUGUAUGUGUUUAAAAUUCAUAGUAACACAUGUUUUCAUUAAUUUAUCUGUGACCGUAUUCUCUAGAUACGAUGUCAGCAUUAGAAUUAGGAGAAGAGGAAGAUGUAGAAUCACCUUCUCUUCCUGAGGUACUGUCUUCUUCUUAUUUUUAAGUAUAAGCAUGGAGUGAUGUUAAAACGUCCAAGA